AAACAGGGAAGGCUGCGUGACUCAAUGACACCUCCCAUCUCUCCUCGUCAUAAUGUCCCCCUAGUCCAUGUCAGGCCUCAUGGGUCAUUAUGGUGUUGGGACAGGGUUAGAACUGGUAAGCACUAUUAAAAGGGAGUGUUUUGGGGUUUUUUCCUCCUGUGACCCUGGUUCAGAAAGCAUGUUUUGGAGCAAGUUGGGAGGCACUCUUGUUUAAACAGGUGUCACGGUAUCAGUGAAGUCUACCAAGAUGUUGUCAACCUAUGUCUUUUUUAAAAGUCACUCUGGGAUCUUAAUAAGUGUUUUUAACAAGAAAAUAAAAUUUUUAAAAAUUGAGGUCCUGGAACUGGAAAUGUAGGCAAAGGGACACAAUGCGGGUGCCCGGAGUGUUUUGCUUUGGGAGGUAGUGGAGAGAAGGUGCCAGGGAGAGGCGUGCAUUGACCAAGGUGAGAAUACCAAUCCCACAACCUUGGCUCAAGUGCCCCCCGCCCACCAGCCUCCAGAUCCAGUCACCUAGCCGAGAGGGGCAAGGGCUGCAUCUGACCCAGGGAUCCUCCAUUCUCAGAAAGAAAGGUGAGCAAUGCUUGGCCUGGAUGUGGCAUUGAGCUGUUCAGACUUUGCCCUUCACAGAGUAGCCCCUGCCCACAUUCGCCCAUAUGGGCUUACUCGCUGGUUUCCAGAAGGACUUUAGUCCACUUGUAACCUCAUCUCAACUGAAAUAAAUCAGCCCCCACCCAGGGACUGGUUUGCUGUACCAACUCCACUGGUGAUGAAGAGGAGGGGAAUCACAGUGACCUUUGCAGGGUGCAUACUGUGCUUCCAAGAGUUAUGAAUAGCUCAGCUCCCAGAGGAGAGACUUCUCAAGUUCAUUCUUUACAGUUAAGCUCUUGUUUAAGAUGGGAAAGUUAUUCUGAGUAAUAACUAUUUCCUUCUCCUUGAGCUGCACAGUGAAAAAGUGUUACUUCCUACUUAGGACUUCAUGUUCAGUGAACAUAGCUCUCGUUCUGGAGAGAAAAAUAAAUUGCUUUCCAAAGGGCAAUGGGAUUUCUACUGCCUGUAUCGAUCAUGCAGCUUUUCAUUCCUGGUUGGUUUUCCUUGACCUCUGUGAGGAUUGCAUGUUCCGAAGACAUAGCAGGGCCUGAACUUCAAAAACACUAGUGACAUUCCAGGCUGGCUGUGAAAUUUUGCAGUAAAUCUGAAAAAAUAUUCUCAGUUCAUAUGGUGAGGUGGAGGGAAAUUGCUACCCAAAGGCUACUGUGUCCACAGUCUUCUCGCACUCCUAGUGCUUCAAGCUCCAUUGAAGUGAGUUGCCCCUCUGCCACUGUGUCCCCCACUGCACCCCCACCUGGGGUGUCCUGGGCCAUAAAAGUUUGAGCAGGAACACUUGCUGGAGCACAUUUUCAAAGACCACCAAUCACCUCCAGCUGGAGACCUGCUGCAACCCCCAGCCUUUGGUAUUGUAGCCAGUUCCGACAAUCAAGACAUUUAAUCCCACGGAUUGCAGAAUGGUGUGGGCAGCAAGCAGCUCUACUGCAGGUCUGUAGGAAGUGUGUCUUUAUUUUUAUCACUAGCAGACCUCACUGAAAGCUCUGGGUCUGAUGGUGAUCACAGAGAAAGGUCCCAGUCAGAGUCAGGCUGUUCCCUGCUUCUCACCAGUUGGGUCAUCCUGGGAUGUGCCUAAUCUUCCCCAUUUGUAAGACACAAGGGCCAGGUGAGACCAGUGGUUCUCAAACCAGAGAGUCUCUGUCUUUCUUUCUGAGACAGAGUCUUGCUCUGUUGCCCAGGCUGGAGUGCAGUGUUGCAAUCUCGGCUCACUGCAGACUCCGCCUCCCAGAUGUAAGCAAUUCUCUGCCUCAGCCUCCCGAGUAGCUGGGAUUACAGGUGCGUGCCACCAUACCUGGCUAAUUUUUGUAUUUUUAGUAGUGAUGGGCUUUCACCAUCUUGGCCAGGCUAGUCUUGAACUCCUGACCUCAUGAUCCACCUGCCUCAGCCUCCUCAAGUGCUGGGAUUACAGGCGUGAGCCACCGCACCUAGCCCAAACCAGUUUCUAAGAAUUAUCUGGGCAAUGUGUAAUCCCCAGUGGCAAUUUCCAGAAAUUCUCAUUUUAAAAGCUCCUCAUUGAUAUUGACACUGAUGUUCUAUGGACCACAGUUGGGAAAAUACUGGGAGCAGAUAGAAAACUUCCAGCCCCAACAGUCUCUGCUGGACCCUGGCUGUGAUGUUAAAUUUUAUUCUGUCUGGUUGGCUUUAGAGUUCUCUUUAUUAUCUUACACAUAAAGCUUUUUUAAAUGAUUGGGGAAUUUACAAUAAUUUAUCACAAUAACAUUUGGAAGCAUUUGAGAGAGCAAUAGUUCUUAGCUGAAUUUCUUUGGGCAGAGGUAAAUAUACAAAGAAAACAGGUGAGAAGUUGGCUCUAUAUCAGAUAGUCUAAAGAAAAUGUUGUAGAGAAGAACUACAUUCCAUUACACUACUACUUUUGAAAUAUUUUCUUUUUCCCCUCAUUUCCCUCCUAUCCUGUCUCCCUCAUCUCUUUGCUUUAUGUUUAGAUUCCCUUGAUUAGAAAUGGCAAAAUCAGGAAGUGAAAGAUCUGACACAUGUAGAAGUAAAUGGGAACCAGGCCCUCAGGGCCACCCAAUAGUUGACCUCAAAGCUUGGCCUGGUUGAUGUCCACAUGCCAUGUCAUCGGGAGCCCCCUCUUUUUGGCUUCUGGGGAUUUUUAUCAGAAAGGGAGGAGCCAUCCCAAGGCAGCUUUUACCUGUCACAGAUAGCAUCAAACCCUGACUCCAAAAACUUGAGGAAAAUCAAAAGCAUGUGGUCACCAGGAAAAAAAAAUGAGGAUCUCAUCUUUAAUCACAAUAAAGCUAGAAUUCCCAGAUGGUACAUUUUUGGAUCUUUGCAUCCAUCUGCUAGUUCAAGUACUUCAACAGCAAUUGCCCUCAUGGUGAUUUCACAAAUUCCUCACAUCCUUCAUUCAUUUGACAAAUAUUCAUUGAGCAUCUACUUGGCGCCAUGAACUAGAGAUCAGUGUGAGCAGAUGACAUGAACUCUGCCUUGCAAAUGCCACUUGCAUCAAGCCCCACAAACAGAGGGACUCUGGCACUGUGGUCUGAGAGGUCAGAAGGAGUCUUUCUGAGGAGAUGACAGUGAGCUGAGAUUGGAAGACCAGUAGGAGAGAACUAGAUGAACUAAAUGAAAAGAUGCUCCACCUACAGAGUUGGGUGCCAGCUACUGAAAGAUAGCCUUCAUGGGGGAAAUAGCAAAUCAUGUCUCCCUUUGGCCCAAGUCAUGACUUGUCUGCCUGUCUGCCUCACAUGAGGUGGGGGGACUGCAGGAUGUUUUUGGAAAUGUUUUCUGAACACUGAUCCCCGAUAUAUACUCUAAUUCCAUACUUGUUAUUGAAUUUUGCAAUAGGAAAUUUAAACCACAUGCUGUUUAUUUAAAAAUUUCGAUUAAAUUUUCCUUUGACUUGCACUUCCAAAUAAUAAAUCAAAUGUUGCUUAGUUUAAUUUUCAAGUUGAUGAAGAUUCUUUUCCUGUUGCUAAUUCAAGUCACUUAAGGUGAAUUUUGAUUAAUUUGUGAUAGGAAGUUUUGUCUUUCUUA
rnacentral:lncRNA from 10 species